GUUUCUUGGAGUGGAGGGGCACGGGCGUUGUUGGGCUCCAGUCCCAGUCUCAGGACAUGGUUCUCACCCAUCAUUGCUACCAUCUGAGGCCACGACGUACAGACACAGAGCUCAGCCAGAUUACACAAAAACUCAUUUGAAGGUUCAUAGGAUUUUCUUUCCAAUAUUGGUGCUGGUUAUCUGGAAGAAAGUCUUGACUACUCACAAGGGUGUUUGGACCCUCGGUAAGGAGUUUCUCACAAGUGCACAUUGGAUAAUUCAAAGGAAAAUUCUCCCAAUAUGAUAUCUCCUAGAAUUUGUUUGCACCCAAGGGUUCAAACAUUAGACUAGAGGGAGCAUACCAUCAAGACAAAGGCUCUUACCACUUGAGCCAACUACUAGGGGUUCAAAGAUUAAAAGAUAAUGUCACAGGAGGUAUAUGAGAUAUGGGUGGCAUAUAAUUAUCCGGUCAUGUGUGGAAGUGUCGAUGAACAUUUUUUCUCCUUUUCAUGGCUGCCCCGACUCUCCGCCAUAAUCAGCAUCCGAAUUACUUUCACCACUAAAUCCCCUCCCCCAUCGAUGCCCCAUGUCCCUAUCAACAUAACAUGCAUGUGUAAGAUUGAGAGGGUCUUCUCUAUCUUUGAUCUACUUCUGUUCUUGAUGGUCCUAGACCAUGGUAGUGGUGGAUAAAGCUGCUUGAUUUUCUAAUAUCACAAUGGCUUUAGCAUCAUUGUGGGAUAAAUGAAUCUAUUAAUUGUAAACAUCAUAUAUGCAUCUAUCAAUUAAUAAACUACUACAGUUGGAUCAGAUUUUGCAAAUAAUGCUCAAUAUGAAAGUUCAUUCACCACCCUCUAACAGAUAUAACGUAUUACAACUCCCCCCACUCAAAUUCCUAAAAUCUCGUCAUGCCAUUUCAUUGUGGCACAACUCAAAUUCUACACUUUUAGCUGAGAUUGAUGCUAUCAACAUUUGUAAAUGAUCUAAUAAAAGCACUAGCCACAUUUGCAUUUACUUCAAAAAUACUAGUUAAGAGCCUUAUCAAAAAAAAAAAAAAAUACUAGUUAAGAUUACAGUUACAGCCCCCUAGAGUCAUUAUAAAAGUAAACAGUUUCAGACACUGUAGGAUCACAUUCACCAAGAGUUAUCCCUUCAAUCUCUACUUGAACACAAGUUAUUGAUUUUCUAAGGAAGUAUGCUGAAGGAGUUUAGAAACCUUUUCUUAAAUGCUCCAUGAAAGCUAUGUCAAGUUUUGUUCUUACUUUUGUCACUGGAUUUACUUAUAAAUGCAUCAUGUUUCACAUCCGCAAAGAGUUAGAAAGGCAUACCUCUUCGUAGUGCGCUUUUAUAGCUUCAAUCAUUAGCUGUGUCUGUUUACCAUUCAAACUCAUGAGUAUUCCACAUGAUAAAACACUCAUUUAUCAUGCACAUAACUAGUUUAAAAAUGAAUAUAAAGACAUUAAAAUUGAUAAUGAACCAAAUGCAUCUGAUGUUCUUCAAUAGAAGAUAAUUUCAGCCCCAUAUAGGUGUUAAGAGAUGCUCUAAACUCAAAUUUCCCCGCAUUUAAACUUAUGGGAUUUUCAGAGGUUCUUGUAUGGUGUACAUGGAUCCAUUCAUUCUGACAAUGGCAACAGUCUAGUUUCUUGGCUUCAACCUGAGAUAGGUGUCUUGGCUUAAAGUUUUCUUUAUUCUUUAAACUAACUGAAUUCAAGUUUGUUAGUAAUGAUUAAUUACUCCAAGUCUAUAUAAUCCUAAAUUCAAGUCUGCAUAAUCUUUCCCAGUCAGCUCUAAGUUAUAAUGAUUAUAUUAUCCAAAAGAAUGGAAAAAAGAUGCAAAUACUUGAUAGAGUUAACAGCUGAUGAACAAAAGGAAAAAAAAAAAAAAAAACUAGAACUAAACAGCCUUUUCGUUUCCAUAAACCAUGGA